UCUGUCUUACUCGGGACUUGGCAUGGUGUCUGGAACGGGUGGUACUCAGUCAAUUAUCCUAUCUAGCAUCUGUGACGGACACAGGGACUAACUCAUUUGGGUCUCACAACAAUUCUCUAAGAUGAAGGCCACUAUUAUCCCCAUUUUGCAGGAGGGGCGGGACAAACUGAGGCAGAGAGGCCCAAGGUCAGCAAAUAGUAAGCGACAGAGUGUGAAUGUGGAGAGUGGCAGCCUGGCUCCAGAGCCAGACUCCCAGGUCCUGUCUAUGUUUGGUGAAUGAAUGAACGACAGGCACAACCAUGAUGGUCUGGCCACCUGCUCAGCCCGCUGGAGAGAACCCUCGCUCCGUCACAUGGCCGAGGAGGUGGGUGAGGUGCUCAGCUGGGGUUGGCAGAGGAGAAGGAACGGGGCGGUGGCUGGCAGCUGGGGAGGCCUUCCCCAUCUCCUAGCGAUGGAAAGUUUCACCUCAUCCGGAAAGAACUCCCAGUUCCAUGGUUGUGGCAGAGAGUGAGGUGUCUCCCCAGCCGGGUUCGUUUCAAAAUACAUUGUCUUGCUUUUAAUAGCCUCCCUGAUCAGCUCUUGGAGGUUCUCAUGACUGACUGUUCCCAAAAUAAUACCCGGCGCCGCUUUUUCCAACUCAGAAGUGCUGAAUCUUGCUACCUCCCAAUCAGCCGCUGGCUGCUGCAAAGAACUGUGGUAAUCCCAGGGUCCCCCAAGACAGAAUGUAACCCAACAGGGAGGUUUCUGAGGCAUUUGGAGAGAACCCCGAUGUUCCUCGGCAGCUCACAGGGCUGCUGACAGCAAGUUUCCGGUGACAGCCUGCCCAUCCACGGGGCUCCCUCGCUGCUCCCAGCUGCUGAACUGAGAUGUGACAGUGGCCAGCGGCAGCCCUAGGAACGCCCCGGCCCUCAGAGAUGGAGAAGAUUUUCCUAGAAGCUGGAGAGCUGACGUGGAGUGAGAGGGAAUUGGCUUUUGGCCCUAGAGGCUGCGAUCAGCUUGGCUUGUCUUUCUCCCUCUGUGGGUAGAAGAAGCGGGGCGGUAUCUCGUUUGCAGUUUUUUGAGAGUGAACCUUGAAACAUCAAGCAUCUCUCCUGUGAAAGGAAAGGACUGAAGUACCUAUAGCUAGACUAUUUUUUCUUAUAUUUUAAAAAUCAGACAGGCUAUCUUCUUCCUUUGUGUAUUCAUUCAAUAGACAUUGUCAUGUACCUAAAAUAUUCCAAGCACUUGGGAUGCAGCUGCGAGCAAAACAGAUGCAGGUGCUGCCCUACAAGGCUUUCAGUCUAGCGGGGAGACUCAGAGGAAACACACAAAUAUAGACAACACAGUUGAGUGGUGACGUGUGCCAAGAAAAACACAUAAAGGAGAGCAGGAAGAUAUGGAGGGCUGGGGAAAGGAGCCUUUUUUAGUCAGGGUGGUCUGGAAGACUUCACAGAAGAGGUGACACUGAGGAGAACUGAAUGGCUUAAGGGAGCUGGCCAUGCAGACAGCUGAGAAAAUGCAUUGCAAGCUGCGAGAACAAGACGUGCAAAGGCCCUGAGGCAGUAUCCUGUAAAAUAGGGAGCCUGCCAUCACCAGAAAGAGUCAUUUUUUUCAUGCAUUUGACAAGUUUUCUGGGCACUGCCAUGGGGCCCUGAACUUCAUGCUGAAGAUACAGACAGAAAACAAGACAGAAAUUAAUCUCUUCAGGGAGUUCAUGCAGUCGGGGCGAGAGAGGUCAACUGACAGUACAAAACAGUGGGCAAGUGCAAGGAUGGAGGAGGCUUGGGAGCCGAGAAAUAUGUGGGAGGGCACAAAACCUGGUCACGUUGGGGUGCUGGGGUAGGCCUUCAAGAGCAGUGACAUCUAAACAGAGUCAAUCCAUAAUCAUAGUCGCUAAAAUUUAUUGAGUAUUCACGUUGCACUUUGUCCUAUUCCAAGUGCUUGACAUGUGUAUUAGUCUGUUUUCAUUAGACAUACCCAAGACUGGGUAAUUUAUAAAGGAAAGAGAUUUAAUUGACCUCACAGUUUCACAUGGCUGGGAGGCCUCAGGAAACUUACAAUCAUGGCAGAAGGGGAAGCAAACGUGUCCUUCUUCAUAUGGCAGCAGCAAGGAGAAGUGCCCAGCAAAAGGGAGAAAAACCCCUUAUAAAACCAUCAGAUCUCGUGAGAACUCACUCACUAUCACAAGAACAGCAUGAGGGUAACCAAUUCCAUGAUUCAAUUACCUCCCACUGGAUCCCUCCCAUGACGUGGGGAUUAUGGAAACUACAAUUCAAGGUGAGAUUUGGGUGGGGACACAACCAAACCAUAUCAACAUGUAUUAGCUUGUCUAAUCCUCCUAGCCUUUGAAAAUUCAAAUAUUUCCCCUUUUCACAGAUGACAAGAGAGGCCAAAUGACUUGCCCUAGGCCACAUAGUGGAAGAGCUGGAAAUCAAACCUUUAAAGAGAAAGCCACCUCAGCACAGUCCAGCCCAGGAAGCCGUGCCUGGGAGCCCCACAUGGAAACGGGGUGGUUGCUCUGCCAGGAGAAGCGUGCUGCACUUUUCCCCUCCGUGGGCUCCCUGGAAGAUAAGAAACCCCAGCUUCCUGAGGAUAUGCUCUGAACCCUCCUGCUGGCUCCUCUGGGCUUGUCAAAAUAUUUCUUUGUGGAGCCAUCCCUGUUUUUCCAUUAAUAAAAGUAUUUUUGGGCUCCCAGCAACAAUGAGUGAGUGUUACAAAAGAGGUUGGGCCUUCCAAGGUAAACAGAGCUCAUCCCCAACCUCAGCCGGUGGCUCUGGGCCACUGAGCAGGGGCGUGGUUGUUCUUAUUCUGGAGCUCUCUGUGCUCUGAGCCCUGAUUUGGCACAGGGAGAGCAGGUUCUAGGAUGGGCUGCCCUAUCCACAGCAGAGGGCCCUGCCAGUGCUCUUCAGGGUCCCCCGGGCUUGCAUUGCCAGGGCAUGCUGCAUCCAUCUUCCCUCCAGCUGAUCAGUCAAUCAGUCAACACACGUCUGUUGAGGUCCUGCUCUGGGCCCAGCAACACACAGAAAAGAUACAGUCUUCCACCCUAUUGCAGGGCAACAGAUGUGGGAGCAGGUGAACCCACAGGUGCCAUGGUAGAUAUCUCCCUGGAGACAAGCCAGGGCAGAGGGGAGAGAAGCACCUAGUGCAGCAGUGAUCACUAUGGGCUCUGUGUUCAAACUGGGAUCUACCGCCCACGGGCCAUGGGACUGUAGGCAAGUGACUCAACCUUUCAGGGAGCAAGUCUCCUCAUCUGCAAAGUGGCAAUACUAAGUAAGUUAAUAUAAGAAACAUGCUUAGAAUAAAACCGUACACAAUGCAGAAGUGUUCGCUAUUAAAUCAUUGUCAAGAAAUCAAUAUUUGUUGAAUGAAUGAAUGAAUGAAUGAAUGCAUGAAUGAGGAAGUAGGUGGAUGGAUGGAUGAAUGGAUGGAGUCAAUGUGUCAGUAACUGUAUUAGUAAUCUCUUGCUGCAUAAUACAUCAGUCCAAAACUUAGUGUCUUGAUGCAUUCAUAAACAUGUAUCAUCUCUCAUUACUUCAAUGAGUCAGAAAUUCAAGAGCUGCUUAGUUGGGCUCUGGCUUCUUCAUUGUGUUGAAGUCAAGAUGUCAGCCAGGGCUGCAGUCAUCUGAAGGUUGGACUGGGGCUGAAGAAUCCACUUCCUAAAUGGCUCCCUUUCAUGGCUGUCAAGUUAGUGCUGGCUAUAGGCAGGAGGCUUCAGUUCCUCCCCAUGUGGGCCUCUCCUCAGGACCGCUUGAGUGUGCUAACAACAUGGCAGCUGGCUUCUCCCAGAGUGAGUGACUGAGGAGAAAGGGAAGCAGCAGAACCAGAAGCUGUGACCAGCGGUCAGUUUUACCACAUCCUAUUCCUUAGACGCAAGUCAUUAAGUCCAGCCCACAUUCAAAGGCAAAGGAAUUGGCCUUUACCUUUGCCCUUUGAAGAGUGGCGUGUCAAAAAAAACUUACAAGUAUAGUUUAAUCAUGACAGUGACCAAAUAGAUCCCCCAAACAGAUCACAAAGGCCUCAAAUACUAGCUUCCCCAGACCAAAGGAGUAUGCACUGUAGGAAUCCAUUCAUUCAAAACUUUGGAACAGUCCAAAUCAAUUUGCAAGGUAGCAGUCAAGUCAAUAGUUGGUUAGGUGGGGGAAGGAGGGAUCAAUUGCAAAAGGCAAUGGAGAUGUUCUGUAUUUUGACUGGGACGAUGGUCAAAACUGAUUGAACUGUACCUUUAAAAUAUGCAAUUCAUUGUAUGUGAACUGUAAUUUAUUAAAGUUUAUUUUUAAAAAUACCAGCUUCCUGACUUUGAGUAAACUAUUCCUAUAAUUUCUUUGGUCUAGGUCAGAGAUUGACAAAUUUUUUACCAGCUCUGGUCCAUUGCCUGUUUCUGUAAAUAAAGUUUUAUUGAAACGCAACCACUCACAUUUAUUUACAGAUUGUCUAUGGCUGUUUUCACACUAUAAUGGCAGAGUGACACAAUUGAGUAGAGCAUAUGGCCUGCAAAGCUGAAAAUAUUUACUAUCUGGGUCUUUUACAAAAAAAAGUUUGCUGGCCGGGGGCUGUGGCUCAUGCCUAUAAUCCCAGCACUUUGGGAGGCCGAGGUGGGUGGAUCACGAGGUCAGGAGAUAGAGACCAUCAUGGCCAACAUGGUGAAAUCCCGUCUCUACUAAAAAUACAAAAAUUAGCUGGGCAUGGUGGCGUGCGCCUGUAGUCCCAGCUACCUGGGAGGCUAAGGCAUGAGAAUUGCUUGAACCCGGGAGGCGGAGGUUGCGGUGAGCCAAGAUCAUGCCACUGCACUCCAGCCUGGACGACAGAGCGAGACUCCGUCUAAAAAAAAAAAAAAAAAAAAAAACCAAUUUUGCUGACCCCAACUCUAGAGGGAAAACUAGGAGGACAGUUUAAUGCUACUUUAGAUGCAUCCAUUUUCAGGGCCAAAUGUAUGCCAAUUUGUCAAUCUUUUUACCCUAAAACUGUAGCAGCCCUCAGCUCAUGUGUGUGCACAGCAACUUCUCCCAGUAGCAGACAGAUGUGGGAAGAUCCAAGUUCUCCCGGAAGAUCCCACGACUUGUCUGCAUUUGGGAACUGUUCGACAUUUCCUUAGAAGUGCUUUCUACAGCCCACUUUUUAGUGUCUGGGACCCCUGCCUGAGCUGGUGAAUCAAGAACUCGGCCCACAGAGCAGGAGACACGGGCAGCACUUUUGGGGGAUUGUCUACAUUUCAUUAAUUAUGUUUAUCUACAUACAAUUUCUUUUCCUUCUUCCCUUUCUUCCUUCCUUCUUUUUCUCUUUCCUUCUCCAAAGACACAUCGGUCCACCAGGUUGGCUGUGUGGGUCAGAUUCUCUCAAAGUGAUUCUGUUUCAUGGUGUUGACUCAACUUGUAGUCAGGCUGGCAGUAUAAAAUUGCAUCUCAAUCAGCUUUAAGAACAAAACUUAAAAACCAAAAUGGGAAUUACAAAUGAAAGGCCGCAGGGAGGGCAACUGUCUGCCACUAUCCUCUCCCCUUAAAGCUAAAAAGUCAGAGCAUGAAACAGCAGGAGAAAGACCGUCUCAGGGUUUCAGUCCCAGAAGACCCUAAACCCAGACUGGGGAGGAGGGGCCUGGGGGUGAGCCUGCUAGGGGCAUCCACCCUGCAGGAAGGCCCCUGUCCAUAGUCAUUGUCUUUGCCCCACCCCUUCCCCUUCUUCUGGAAAUAGUGCCCCAAUUUUUACUUUGAGGUCAGACCUUUCUGACUCUCAGCUUGUGCAGUUGGAGAGGGGCUGACUCUCUCAGCGCUUGGGAUGGGCACGUGACCCAAGUCCUCCUCAUCAGCAUCAGGGUGAUGGUCUCGGGUCAAUGAGAAUCCACCCCAGGACUGUAGUUUGAACUGCCAGGAAAGCAAAUGUCUCUCACACAGACGUUCUCUCUAUUUCCUGCUGAGAUGUGAGGAUGAAGAUCUGCAACUGCUCUCCACCAGCUUGGUGCACUGCACUCUAUACCGCAAGAUGUCACAGGAGAAGACGGAGCCAGGAGAUGGAAAGAGAUUGGUUGCUGCUGACGACAUUUGAGCCCCUAAAUCCAGCCAUCCCUGAAGCUAGAGGAAACUCCAUAUAGCUUCUCACAUAUAUAAAAACAUUUCUUCCUCACUUAAGCCAUUUUGAAUUGGAUAUUCUGUCACUUGCAACAUCUCCUAUUUCAUCCACAGGAGUUUGAGAUCUGGAGACCUGGAGAACCGGAGCCCCAGCUGCUGGUUGCUGGCAGUAGCCAUUUUACUGCCAUGAAGAAAGCCAGACUGAGGGCAAGGCCAACGCAGAGGGGAGCAAACCAAAGGAAAUGCAGAGAAAUAGAUCCAGAGCCUUGAUCAUGCAAUUCCUGAAGCCCACUUUCCCCCUAAAGUUCCCGAGAGUGAGGAGAUACAGUUCCCUAAGGUUAAAGCCAGUUCGAGUCAGGUUUUGCAUUACUUGUGGCCAAAAGAGUCUCAAGUGACACAUUCGGUCUUCUUCCAUGUAACACAGAGAUAAUCACACUUACCUCAAAUAGUGGCUCUGAGGAAUAGAGACCAGAUGUGCAAAUGCUCCUGCCCAGAGCCUAACAGACAGAGCAGGGGCUCCACAGAUGCGUUCCCACUGCUUCUCUGACUUAUUUUCUCCCCAUUCCUCGCUGCUGGUCCCGUGCAGCGCAGGCUGAGGGCCAUGUCAUUGCUGAUUCAGGCCGGGUAGGACAAGGCCUCAAGGUACAGUGGUCACUGGUCCCACAGAUGGAAUCAAGUGCGACACCUCCUUUCUGCAAAGACAGGGGGCAGUCCAGGGGCAACCAGAGCUGGGGCUUCACCCAGUCCUCCCAGUAAUGCAUGUCAGUUGACUCCCCUUCUGGUAACACAGUGCCCCCAUUUCUCUCUGGCAGUCCACUCCUUCCUAUCUCUGUACUCUUGGAGGGGGCUUCAUCCCCAGUUUAAAGUUGAGUCAUGUGACGAAGGUGUAAGCCUAUCAGCCUGUCACAUUUCCCCUGACCACUGGUGAUUGGUUCAGGGAAUAGCAUGUGACCCAGGCAGUGCCAGCGUUACCCAGGAGUCUCUGCUGGGCUCUAGAUAGCAGCUCAGUCUUUCCUGCUGGAAAUGCAAGGGGAAGAAGAAUGUGGCUGUCAUGGAAGCAGGAGAGGACAGGUAAGGGAGAGUCAGUACAGCAGAGGUGAAACCAAACCCUAUCCACGUUGUCUGAACUCCUGAAUCCAACCAAGCCUGGGGUCCACCCUGGAACUUUUCAAUAAGAAAUUCUUUUUCAUUACUUCGACCAGUUGGUGAGGUUGCUAAGUUUAGCAAAUAAAAAUCCAGGCUUCGGAUUAAAUUUGAAUUUCAGAUGAACAACAAUAUUUUAGUAUAUGUGUGCCCCAUGCAACAUUUGGUACCUACUUACGCUAAAAAAAAUUAUUCAUUGUUUAGUUGAAAUUCAAAUUUAACUGGGUAUCCUGUGCUAUAUGCAGCGACCCUACUAGUUCGGGCCAGGUUUCUCAUUCUUUGAACGCAAGAGAGUCUGAACUGAGGCCCAGUCCCAUCCCCUUCAACAAGGGCACAGGAGUGCUACUCCUCCUGCCGCGCUUCACAGAACAGGGCCCCCCACUGCCCAACCACAGGGGUUAGCCUCGGCCACUCCAUCAGCCUCCUUCAUACCUCAUUUCUCCUGCUAGCAAGGGUGCUACCCACGGCAGUGAAGAACCGUGGCCACAGCUCCUACUGGGGAUGCCUACUGUGUGUGAAGGGCUAACCUGUACCCUUCCACCUCCUCCCCACAGCACGAUUCUAAGAAGCAGGCAAACUACAGUCCUCAUCUUAUAGAUAAGUAAAGCAGCUCAGAGGCUCUGUGACCCACCCAGGGUCCCACAGCUAGUAAGAGGUAGGGCUAUGUUUCAUACCAAGCCCAGGUUCUAGGAAUGACACUUCCAAGCCGGAGGGGAUACGGAAGGAGCUGCCUCUCCACGGAAGGAGGAUCCUUCCGAGGAAGCCCAGUAGCCGCCCUCUGGAUAGAGGCAGGAGGCCUGGGGAGGUCUGAGUCACUGUGUGGCUAGAGAGCAGGGGUGCUGGGAUCAGCAGAAAACCUAGCAGACUCUCUCCCUUAGGGAUUUAAAAGGACUGGGCCCAGGGAAAGGGGAAGGACAUUGGCCAAGCCAUCCUCAGACAGCCUGGGGAGCAGAGGAAGCCGGCAGCUGGCGGGUCACCUGGGGGCAGGUGCCCCACCUCCUGCUUCUCACCUCCUUGGCGUUUCCCAGGCCCCUCUCCUGAAGGCCUGCUCACUCUCAACCUCUGUUUUGCUAUUUUGCUUUGUUGUUUUUUUUUUUUAAAGUUCCUUUGUUGUUACCACUUAAAACAAUAAAUAAAUAAGGCAAACCAACAACGCAGACAUCUGGAAAGCUUUGUGGAAAAUGGCAUCUUGUUCAGAGGACCCGCCCUCCCCGGAGUCAGAACACAAG
rnacentral:lncRNA from 10 species